GGUUAAGCGACUAAGCGUACACGGUGGAUGCCCUGGCAGUCAGAGGCGAUGAAGGACGUGCUAAUCUGCGAUAAGCGUCGGUGAGGUGAUAUGAACCGUUAUAACCGGCGAUUUCCGAAUGGGGAAACCCAGUGUGUUUCGACACACUAUCAUUAACUGAAUCCAUAGGUUAAUGAGGCGAACCGGGGGAACUGAAACAUCUAAGUACCCCGAGGAAAAGAAAUCAACCGAGAUUCCCCCAGUAGCGGCGAGCGAACGGGGAGGAGCCCAGAGCCUGAAUCAGUGUGUGUGUUAGUGGAAGCGUCUGGAAAGGCGUGCGAUACAGGGUGACAGCCCCGUACACAAAAAUGCACAUAUUGUGAGCUCGAUGAGUAGGGCGGGACACGUGGUAUCCUGUCUGAAUAUGGGGGGACCAUCCUCCAAGGCUAAAUACUCCUGACUGACCGAUAGUGAACCAGUACCGUGAGGGAAAGGCGAAAAGAACCCCGGCGAGGGGAGUGAAAAAGAACCUGAAACCGUGUACGUACAAGCAGUGGGAGCCUCUUAAUGGGGUGACUGCGUACCUUUUGUAUAAUGGGUCAGCGACUUAUAUUCUGUAGCAAGGUUAACCGAAUAGGGGAGCCGAAGGGAAACCGAGUCUUAACUGGGCGUUAAGUUGCAGGGUAUAGACCCGAAACCCGGUGAUCUAGCCAUGGGCAGGUUGAAGGUUGGGUAACACUAACUGGAGGACCGAACCGACUAAUGUUGAAAAAUUAGCGGAUGACUUGUGGCUGGGGGUGAAAGGCCAAUCAAACCGGGAGAUAGCUGGUUCUCCCCGAAAGCUAUUUAGGUAGCGCCUCGUGAAUUCAUCUCCGGGGGUAGAGCACUGUUUCGGCAAGGGGGUCAUCCCGACUUACCAACCCGAUGCAAACUGCGAAUACCGGAGAAUGUUAUCACGGGAGACACACGGCGGGUGCUAACGUCCGUCGUGAAGAGGGAAACAACCCAGACCGCCAGCUAAGGUCCCAAAGUCAUGGUUAAGUGGGAAACGAUGUGGGAAGGCCCAGACAGCCAGGAUGUUGGCUUAGAAGCAGCCAUCAUUUAAAGAAAGCGUAAUAGCUCACUGGUCGAGUCGGCCUGCGCGGAAGAUGUAACGGGGCUAAACCAUGCACCGAAGCUGCGGCAGCGACACUAUGUGUUGUUGGGUAGGGGAGCGUUCUGUAAGCCUGUGAAGGUGGCCUGUGAGGGUUGCUGGAGGUAUCAGAAGUGCGAAUGCUGACAUAAGUAACGAUAAAGCGGGUGAAAAGCCCGCUCGCCGGAAGACCAAGGGUUCCUGUCCAACGUUAAUCGGGGCAGGGUGAGUCGACCCCUAAGGCGAGGCCGAAAGGCGUAGUCGAUGGGAAACAGGUUAAUAUUCCUGUACUUGGUGUUACUGCGAAGGGGGGACGGAGAAGGCUAUGUUGGCCGGGCGACGGUUGUCCCGGUUUAAGCGUGUAGGCUGGUUUUCCAGGCAAAUCCGGAAAACCAAGGCUGAGGCGUGAUGACGAGGCACUACGGUGCUGAAGUGACAAAUGCCCUGCUUCCAGGAAAAGCCUCUAAGCAUCAGGUAACAUCAAAUCGUACCCCAAACCGACACAGG
rnacentral:rRNA from 1 species